rnacentral:rRNA from 1 species
UGAGCAAUCUGCCCUUCACAUCGGAAUAACCAUUGGAAACGAUGGCUAAUACCGAAUAUGACUUCGGAUCGCAUGAUCUGAAGUGGAAAGCUCCGGCGGUGAAGGAUGAGCUCGCGGCCUAUCAGCUUGUUGGUGUGGGUAAUGGCCCACAAGGCGACGACGGGUAGCCGGCCUGAGAGGGUGACCGGCCACACGUGGGACUGAGACACGGCCCAG